AACGAACGCUGGCGGCAGGCUUAACACAUGCAAGUCGAACGGCAGCACGGGAGCAAUCCUGGUGGCGAGUGGCGAACGGGUGAGUAAUGUAUCGGAACGUGCCCAGUCGUGGGGGAUAACGUAGCGAAAGCUACGCUAAUACCGCAUACGAUCUAUGGAUGAAAGCGGGGGACCUUCGGGCCCCGCGCGAUUGGAGCGGCCGAUGUCAGAUUAGGUAGUUGGUGGGGUAAAGGCUCACCAAGCCAACGAUCUGUAGCUGGUCUGAGAGGACGACCAGCCACACUGGGACUGAGACACGGCCCAGACUCCUACGGGAGGCAGCAGUGGGGAAUUUUGGACAAUGGGCGCAAGCCUGAUCCAGCAAUGCCGCGUGCAGGAAGAAGGCCUUCGGGUUGUAAACUGCUUUUGUACGGAGCGAAAAGGCUCCCUCUAAUACAGGGGGCUCAUGACGGUACCGUAAGAAUAAGCACCGGCUAACUACGUGCCAGCCGCCGCGGUAACAC
rnacentral:rRNA from 1 species